GACGAACGCUGGCGGCGUGCCUAACACAUGCAAGUCGAGCGGAGAUAGACUGAUGGUAACUGAUGUCUAUCUUAGCGGCGGACGGGUGAGUAACACGUGGGCAACCUGCCUCAAAGAGGGGGAUAACACCGAGAAAUCGGUGCUAAUACCGCAUAACAUACAGACACUGCAUGGUGACUGUAUCAAAGGAGCAAUCCGCUUUGAGAUGGGCCCGCGGCUGAUUAGCUAGUUGGUGAGGUAAUGGCUCACCAAGGCGACGAUCAGUAGCCGACCUGAGAGGGUGACCGGCCACACUGGAACUGAGACACGGUCCAGACUCCUACGGGAGGCAGCAGUGGGGAAUAUUGCGCAAUGGGGGAAACCCUGACGCAGCAACGCCGCGUGGAGGAAGAAGGUCUUCGGAUUGUAAACUCCUGUCUUCUGGGACGAUAAUGACGGUACCAGAGGAGGAAGCCACGGCUAACUACGUGCCAGCCGCCGCAGUAAGAC
rnacentral:rRNA from 1 species